UAUAGUUACAGACGUCAGUUUCAAAAUCGUGUUCGGCUUUUUUUUAAUUUUAAAUAUUUUAAUAAUAACGAGCAAUUCACUCAAACGAUAAUUCAGAAAUAUAUAGACUUGCCACAAGUCGACCAUGGAGGAGGGAGGGCGCGGGGAAGGGAGCGCGCGACCCGAGCGACGAAGUCGCGAGUGGUCGACUUGUGUCCCUUGCAGGAAUUUAAAUCGCAUUAAAAAUUUUGGCGCGAAUAAUUUUGACGUAAAAGGGGUGUGUACAUUUCAUACAAUU